GUACUGCUUUACAGGUUCACAGGAGCUAUGCUACUAUGCACUGUAUAUCCGAGAUUGCUAAAUUAUUCACUACAAUGGCUGCUUCUGAUGAUUCCGCUUUCCAAGAAGAGCUGGAAGCCAAAUUUUGGGGGGAUGUUAAUUUACAUAGGAACAUACAGCCCUGUUUAUUUGAGUCAGAAUGCACUGAAGAGGAGUUGAAACAGCAAUAAAAAUAAUAGUGAAACCAGCAAGCUGCGGCGGCAGCCUAGACCAGGUGGACCAGGUCAAAGGAAGGCAAAUGACAAACAAGACAAAAAGUAAACAUGCAGAGAGCCUCUGUAUUGCCCAACCCCCCCUAGCAGUGAAUUGCGAGUGAGAAGUGCCGGAGCAUCAUGUCGCAGCUUCCUAAAGAAAAAUCUGGCUUCCAAAAACUAAAAGAAAGAAAAGAAGGACAGGAGAGAGAAAAGAAAGGGCGACUGUAUGUCACCCAAUUUUUCACAAAGGAAGAUCUUUUUGCCGCUGAAACUCUAGCACGUUCAAAAGCGAAUACUGGAACAAUAUUUUGAAUGUCGAAUGUGGAGAAUGCUCAGAGGCGAUCUAAAGAACACUAAUGUCAUUACGUUUGUUGUUUUGUGAUAUCAUUAAAAAUGUUAUAAAGGAAAUACUGUAGCUUGGAAAGUAUACCCACUACAUGUGUGAAGUGUCCAUCCUAUGUGAAUCCAAAGCACAUUCAAUAAAGGAAGGUGAUAGAUAUAAUCAAAUGUUUUAUUUACAUGCAUUUAUUUCACCUCAUACUUUCUUCUGACCCUCCUGGGAUUUAAAAUAUUGCCUUCUGUUUAGUUUACUGUACAUAGUAGAGUGUAAGGAAAAGGUAAAAUACAAAAGAGAGUUUACAGUAUGUGCAGGUAAGGUAAAAAUAGGGACACUACUGUGAAACCAUAUGGCAUAAUUCUGUUGGGGUAAGUGUCCUCCGGGGGGAGGGAGGACUUACUCCGGUAGCUGGACAAAAUACCCCUUUCCUAAAAUAUAAAUUGUAUUAAAUAACUACAAAUCUGCCAACUGAAGCUAUCAUCCACCUUCAUUUUUUUCUGAAAUCUGCUUUUUUGUGUCAGCAAAUAGACAUUGAUCUUAGAGUGUGUGUUUACCCCAAUGUUUUAUUUGUUUUGUGAAAUGCUAUCUCAGAUUCUUAAGGAAGAACUUCUGCACCACGUGAUUUGUUUUUCUCUUUUAGUUGAUGCUUUUAUGGCCGUUUGCAGAGAGAUUUGUGCCAUAGUAGAUGUGUGAAAAAUAUAUGUUGUUACCUCAGAUAACCAUAUUUAAUAAGCAAACUAUCAAAAUGUUUUCGCACUAAUGUAAAGGAAGAAUUUGGCAAUGUUAUCAUGUAAUAAAG